UAGGAUUUGGAAAGAUUGCUUU
rnacentral:miRNA from 1 species